CCAAUCUAUACUAUACCUUUCAGAAUUUCACAUUGUGGAUCUAGAGAUUGGUCCAUGUAAGCCCAAUGAGGUUUCUCUGGGGAUCCCCAGAAAGCGGAAUUGACGUCAUGUGAAUUCCCUCUACAAAGAGGACUUUAUUGCGCUUGUUUGCAUUAUUUUGAAAAAUAACAUCUUACAUCUGGUCGCAGCAGCGAGCACACACCCACUCCACCCAAACAGCAGUGGUUGGGGUUCAGAAGAUGGACUCAAAGCCAGGCACAACUUGAUAAAACAAUUGCUCAGUAAGUUUAAUCGUUUAUUUGAAGUUUAUUUUUUGUUAGUGAUAUCAAGCUAUAUUAUUUGUUUCAAUAUUAGCAUUUUAUUUUACACUACACUUUUACAUUUUACCACACAACAAAAUAUAUUUAUCAUCCUAAACUGUUAUUUUUUUAUUAUACCAUACUAUGACAUUUUUAUUAAACUAUGCUAUCUGCAUAUCAUACCUACUCAUACUCAUUUUUAUCAUUGUAUUCCAGAUUUUAUCUAUUAUUUGAUUUUUUUUUCAUUUUGUUCUAUAUUCAUUCUUCUAUACUGAAAAUGUGAUCAUACUUUACCAUGAUAUUUAAACGUAAAAUACGAUAACAUUUUCAUUUUUCUUAACUUUGAUUUUUUUUUAAACAAUAACAUGAUAUUUUAACAUCCAAUACUAGAGCUUGUCAACGUCUGGCGUCACAUACAUCAUCGCACAUAAAGCUGACUUUAUUGUGCAUGUUAACAUUAUUUUGAAAAAUAAUAUCUAACAUCCUGUCGCAGCAGCGAGCACACACCAUAGACUGUAUAUAGGCUGUGUCCCAUUUCAGAGACCGCACCGUCGAACGGUGCAUUUGAAGCGUGCAUGAUGUCAUCACGCAGCGCGAACGGUGUCCCAUUUGGCACGAAAUGCUAAGAAAUGCUAUGCGCGCAUUUUUUUUUUUUUUGUAUGAAGGAGUAUGAGGGCCAUAUUGAGAAUUUUUUAAGACUUUGAGAUUUAAGUCGUGAAUUUACGAGAAUAAAGUCGUAAGGUUACCUGUUAUUUCAAAGGAGACUUGUUAAAAUUAGGGCCAUGAAGCAUUUAAAAGAACUGUGCUUCAGUAUAGGUUUCACAAACAAGGAGAUACUUCAUCCUCUGGCACAUCAGAAUUACAUUGUCAUAAGUAUAGGGACUUGGAAUAUAUGAGAAAUACACCUUUUCCAUGGCGAAAAAAACUGGUGUACUUGAAGGAAAUCGCUGCUUUUGUGGAGGCAGAAAUGAAUAUGCUGAGGAUAUAUCCGUUUAUGCAGCCGUAAAUAUCCGUGAAUGACAUUGAGCUUUAGUUUAUGAUAUGAAUCCAUAUACCAUAAUAAGGUGUUGGUGUCUCUGCAGGUGUAGGUUACCGCCGGUGUCAGAGACGUGGUGCUCGUUGGAGCUCGACUCCCUCUGGAUCACAAAUGUUGAUCAUCAGUUGGAUUGUUUUUUCAGAAGCCACAAAAACUCUCUGAAUGACCCGCUGAUUCAUCCACCGAUAACCCUGCAGAUGACCAGCUUCAGUCAUUUCCCCCUCCACAAAAGCAGCUUUAUGACUUUAUUUACUUUAUGACUUUAUUCUCUUAAAUUUACAACUUUAAUCUCUAAAUCUUAAAAGAAAAUAAAACCCAAUGUUGUCCUGAUACUCUGCUGUAGUUUUGUCAGCUUUCUUAUUUCUAAUGUUUUUGAUUGUUGUAGCAGAGCGGAUCAGUUCGUCUCUAAAUCUAUAAUGUUUGGUUUGCAGAUUUUAGUGAGUUCAGAGAUCAUGCGCUCAUACAGCCUGAGCUGACUGUCUGCUGUUUUUGGAUUUCUUUUAUUUUCUUUGGUGACGCGCUGCGUCUCCAAGUGAGUCCAGCCUCUCACCUGAAAUGCACAGCUGUGCAGCGGAACGCAAAGAAUUCUGGGAUACCAACGGCACGAAAGCGUGCAUAAAUGCACGCUUGAAAAAGGGGCGGGGGCAGUGUGGUUUUGAGACCGAAUUUGAAGCGCGCUUAGUAUUUUGUGCCAAACGGGGACAUUGUUCGUGCUGCGUGAUGACCUCACGCACGCUUCAGAUGCGCCGUUCGACGGUUGCAGUAUCUGAAAUGGGACACAGGAAGGGUACAUAACGGCGUGCUUAUCCCGAUGCGGUCUCUGAAAUGAGACACAGCCUUAGAAUGGACAGAGUUUGCCUCCUCGCUGGGUGAAGACACUCCGAGAACAGCACCCUCUUUUGAUGGGCUGCAGUAACGGUUUAUUAGCUAGCAAAGAAACAAGACGUUGUGAAUGUGACACAGUGGUCCACUGGGACUUUUGCAAAGUAGCCUAGACAUACUACUUUGGUUUAACAUACAUAAUAUGAUUUCCAAGCUGCUUCAUUAGUAAAAUAUAUCCUUAAUUUAGAUUCAUUGUGAUACAGUAAAUGCCUGGCUUUGUGUUUACAGAAAUACCCCCUACAGUCCAAGAUGCCAGACUUUUGUGCAGCACAUGGAUGCUCAAAUGAACGUUCUUUUCCAACAAGAGCCCGUGGAAUCACUUUUCAUUCAUAAGAAAUGACUUGAGGGACAUAUUUAGGAUAAUUGUUACUAACUUAGUUAAAUUUGUACUUGUGAAAUACAAGUUAUUUUCCCCCUGAC
rnacentral:lncRNA from 1 species